rnacentral:rRNA from 1 species
AGUUUGAUCCUGGCUCAGAUUGAACGCUGGCGGCAUGCUUUACACAUGCAAGUCGAACGGCAGCGGGGGCUUCGGCCUGCCGGCGAGUGGCGAACGGGUGAGUAAUACAUCGGAACGUGUCCUUAAGUGGGGAAUAACGCAUCGAAAGAUGUGCUAAUACCGCAUAUCUCUCAGGAGGAAAGCAGGGGAUCGAAAGACCUUGCGCUAAAGGAGCGGCUGAUGUCUGAUUAGCUAGUUGGUGAGGUAAAGGCUUACCAAGGCAACGAUCAGUAGCUGGUCUGAGAGGACGACCAGCCACACUGGGACUGAGAUACGGCCCAGACUCCUACGGGAGGCAGCAGUGGGGAAUUUUGGACAAUGGGCGAAAGCCUGAUCCAGCCAUGCCGCGUGAGUGAAGAAGGCCUUCGGGUUGUAAAGCUCUUUUAGUCGGAAAGAAAGAGUCAUAGUAAAUAGCUAUGAUUUAUGACGGUACCGACAGAAAAAGCACCGGCUAACUACGUGCCAGCAGCCGCGGUAAUACGUAGGGUGCGAGCGUUAAUCGGAAUUACUGGGCGUAAAGGGUGCGCAGGCGGCCUUGUAAGUCAGAUGUGAAAGCCCCGGGCUUAACCUGGGAAUUGCGUUUGAAACCACAAAGCUAGAGUGCAGCAGAGGGGAGUGGAAUUCCAUGUGUAGCAGUGAAAUGCGUAGAGAUGUGGAAGAACACCGAUGGCGAAGGCAGCUCCCUGGGUUGACACUGACGCUCAUGCACGA